rnacentral:rRNA from 1 species
UUCCGGUUGAUCCUGCCGGACCCGACUGCUUAUUUGGGUGAGGAAUAACCAUGCGAGUUGUAUGGGAUACCUAAAUUUCCCAUAGCUAACUGCUUAGUAACACAUGAUCAACUUGCCCUAUGGAGAAAUAUAACCUCGGGAAACUGAGGAUAAUGCUUCAUAGUUGAAUAGGCUUGGAAAAGUUUUUCAAUGAAAGGGAUAAGAUAAAUGGUUGUUAUCUACCAUAGGAUAGGAUCGUGCUCGAUUAUGGUUGUUGGUGAGGUAACGGCUCACCAAGCCGAUAAUCGAUAGGGGCCGUGAGAGCGGGAGCCCCAAGAUGGGUACUGAGACAGCGACCCAGGCCUUACGAGGCGCAGCAGGUACGAAACCUCCGCAAUACACGAAAGUGUGACGGGGUUACCCAAAGUGUUCUUAUAGAACUGUGGCAGGUGAGUAAUGUCCCCUGCUAGAAAGGAGAGGGCAAGGCUGGUGCCAGCCGCCGCGGUAAAACCAGCUCUCCAAGUGGUCGGGAUAAUUAUUGGGCUUAAAGUGUCCGUAGCCGGUUUAGUAAGUUCCUGGUAAAAUCAGGUAGCUUAACUAUCUGUAUGCUAGGAAUACUGCCAUACUAGAGGGCGGGAGAGGUUUGAGGUACUACAGGGGUAGGGGUGAAAUUUUAUAAUCCUUGUAGGACCACCAGUGGCGAAGGCGUCAGACUGGAACGCGCCUGACGGUGAGGGACGAAAGCCAGGGGAGCGAACCGGAUUAGAUACCCGGGUAGUCCUGGCCGUAAACGAUGCAUACUAGGUGAUGGUACGGCCAUGAGCCGUGUCAGUGCCGUAGGGAAACCGUUAAGCGUGCCGCCUGGGAAGUACGGUCGCAAGGCUGAAACUUAAAGGAAUUGGCGGGGGAGCACCACAAGGGGUGAAGCCUGCGGUUCAAUUGGAAUCAACGCCGGU